rnacentral:misc_RNA from 1 species
UCAUGUACCCCAGCAAUAUUUAAGGUACAGUUCACCCUUUAUCCAUAGUACCUUGGUUAGUUGUGUAUGUUGGGACUAGUUAGUUUUUUGGUAACUUGUUGUAUUUUGGUAGUUUGUUGUAUCUUAUUUCCUCCCUUUAGGUUCAAUUUUUUUACCCUGGUUCUAAAUCUUGUCAUUCUUUGCCCCUUGCAGUGUCACAAGAUUGCAGAUUGUG